ACCCUACAGGUUGAACGUGUGGGACCGGUCAGUCGUUCCCGCGCCGGCACCGAGGGAAGCCACGUCGUCGACGAACAAGAUCUUCGAGAGUCAAAUAGAACGAAAGGAAAAAAUCUCCGUCCCAGAUUCUGCGCCUGAUCUCGAAGGACAGUCGAAGAAAACGUCGGCAAAAAUGACCCAAGCACUUGUCGUCCUGAAAACGAAGAGCUCCUUCCCUUGCAAAUCAUGCGGAACGAGCUACGGCAGCAGGCGAAAUCGACAAAGGCACAACAAACGGAGGCAUCUCAAUGAUCGCACCUCAAACUUCCCUCCCCGAACAGCUCCGACUUGCAGUUCAGAUUCGAAGGCGGAGCAGUGUCGGAGUUCUCCUGGGCGCAAAGAACCCGAAGUGAUCCCCGAUUUGUCCAAGUAUUUCACAGGAGCCGUGGCAUGUGCUGAGAUCGAGUUGGCAGCCGAACGUCGCAGAAAACAUGUGCACCAUUACCGACCGAUUUGUACGUGCGCAAGUUGCACCGCGACGACAGCUCGAGGGAGGAUAAUUGAGAGGAGAUUUUUGAAGACACGGUCUAAGGUGAUCACGUGCGCGGCGUGCGACAAUACCUUCUACGACACCGGAACUCUGGGAGCACAUUUCAAUAGCCGUCACCUUCGUCACAAGACAAGCAUGAACCGCAAACUGAAAGAUGACUGCAUCCAAGCUCGCCUAAACGAUCGAGAUUACGUCGACGAGGAUUUUUCAGAAGAGUCCGAGUGGGACGACUCCGAUUAUUCCGAAGCUGAGAGUGACGGAGACCCGUCAAGUACGGAACAGUCAAGCUGUUGAAACCGAUCAAGAGUCUCGCCGAGAAGCUCUAGUCAACGAUGAAAUUCAUCGCUUGCGCUUUCGUCAUCAGCAAGGAGUCUUCGCUCCUCGCCUGGAAGGCGGACUUUAUUGACUCAAUCCUCGAUCCUACGUUGCCAUUGUGAAGGCCGCCCGCUCGGAUAACGAAUGCUGCGAAUGUCCAGUGCGCGUGCGAAUCCGAAUUCAUGUUGUAAAUUAUUUGUGAGAACCUGACUCCUCGCGUGAGAAUCUACCUAAUUUAAUAAUAACGAUCGAGAAUACAUGACAAUACAUCGUUCAAAUAUCAUAUAUAAGAAUCAUUGCUACCACCUGACGAUUAGGGAUGACCAUCCCCUUGAAUAAAUGCGUAAAUACCACCGUCGACAGGACGGUUCUGAAUGAAGGAA